UACGUAGGGUGCGAGCGUUGCCCGGAUUUAUUGGGCGUAAAGGGUGCGCAGGCGGCCGUAUGUGUGAGGCGUGAAAGCCCGGGGCUUAACCCCGGAAUUGCACCUCAAACUAUACGGCUAGAGCAUUGGAGAGGGUAGCAGAAUUCAUGGUGUAGCAGUGAAAUGCGUAGAUAUCAUGAGGAAUACCAGAGGCGAAGGCGGCUACCUGGACAAUUGCUGACGCUCAGGCACGAAAGCGUGGGGAGCAAAAGGG
rnacentral:rRNA from 1 species